rnacentral:rRNA from 1 species
CAGUUCGGAUUGUAGUCUGCAACUCGACUACAUGAAGCUGGAAUCGCUAGUAAUCGCGGAUCAGAAUGCCGCGGUGAAUACGUUCCCGGGUCUUGUACACACCGCCCGUCACACCAUGGGAGUCAGUAACGCCCGAAGCCGGUGACCCAACCUAACCAGGAGGGAGCCGUCGAAGGCGGGACGGAUGACUGGGGUGAAGUCGUAACAAGGUAGC